GAACGCUAGCUACAGGCUUAACACAUGCAAGUCGAGGGGAAACGAUAUUGGAAGCUUGCUUCUGAUAGGCGUCGACCGGCGCACGGGUGAGUAACGCGUAUCCAACCUGCCCAUCACUUGGGGAUAACCUUGCGAAAGUAAGACUAAUACCCAAUGACGUCUCUAGAAGACAUCUGAAAGAGAUUAAAGAUUUAUCGGUGAUGGAUGGGGAUGCGUCUGAUUAGCUUGUUGGCGGGGUAACGGCCCACCAAGGCGACGAUCAGUAGGGGUUCUGAGAGGAAGGUCCCCCACAUUGGAACUGAGACACGGUCCAAACUCCUACGGGAGGCAGCAGUGAGGAAUAUUGGUCAAUGGACGAGAGUCUGAACCAGCCAAGUAGCGUGCAGGAAGACGGCCCUAUGGGUUGUAAACUGCUUUUAUAAGGGAAUAAAGUGAGUCUCGUGAGACUUUUUGCAUGUACCUUAUGAAUAAGGACCGGCUAAUUCCGUG
rnacentral:rRNA from 1 species